rnacentral:rRNA from 1 species
UGGGGAAUUUUGGACAAUGGGCGAAAGCCUGAUCCAGCAAUGCCGCGUGUGUGAAGAAGGCCUUCGGGUUGUAAAGCACUUUUGUCCGGAAAGAAAUCCUUGGCUCUAAUACAGUCGGGGGAUGACGGUACCGGAAGAAUAAGCACCGGCUAACUACGUGCCAGCAGCCGCGGUAAUACGUAGGGUGCAAGCGUUAAUCGGAAUUACUGGGCGUAAAGCGUGCGCAGGCGGUUUGCUAAGACCGAUGUGAAAUCCCCGGGCUCAACCUGGGAACUGCAUUGGUGACUGGCAGGCUAGAGUAUGGCAGAGGGGGGUAGAAUUCCACGUGUAGCAGUGAAAUGCGUAGAGAUGUGGAGGAAUACCGAUGGCGAAGGCAGCCCCCUGGGCCAAUACUGACGCUCAUGCACGAAAGCGUGGGGAGCAAACAGGAUUAGAUACCCUGGUAGUCCACGCCCUAAACGAUGUCAACUAGUUGUUGGGGAUUCAUUCCUUAGUAACGUAGCUAACGCGUGAAGUUGACCGCCUGGGGAGUACGGUCGCAAGAUUAAAACUUAAAUGAAUUGACGGGGUCAUAGCUGUUUCU